UAGGGAAUCUUCCGCAAUGGACGCAAGUCUGACGGAGCAACGCCGCGUGAGUGAAGAAGGAUUUCGGUUCGUAAAACUCUGUUGUUAGAGAAGAACAGCGCAUAGAGUAACUGUUAUGCGUGUGACGGUAUCUAACCAGAAAGCCACGGCUAACUACGUGCCAGCAGCCGCGGUAAUACGUAGGUGGCAAGCGUUGUCCGGAUUUAUUGGGCGUAAAGCGAGCGCAGGCGGUCAAUUAAGUCUGAUGUGAAAGCCCCCGGCUCAACCGGGGAGGGUCAUUGGAAACUGGUUGACUUGAGUGCAGAAGAGGAGAGUGGAAUUCCAUGUGUAGCGGUGAAAUGCGUAGAUAUAUGGAGGAACACGAGUGGCGAAGGCGACUCUCUGGUCUGUAACUGACGCGGAGGCUCGAAAGCGUGGGUAGCAAGCAGG
rnacentral:rRNA from 1 species